CUGUUUAUUUGGUUUCUCAUUAACCAGAGGAAGUGCCUGAAUCAGAUGGGGCCUCUGCUGUUUGACUGCCUGCCCAGAGUGGGGGCUUGAGGCUGGGGUCUCUAACAAGAGCUGCUUCAGGCCAGAUGAGUGCCUCCAACUGAAGAGAGCUGGAUGCAGGCUGGAUGCUGUAUUCCUACUGAGAUGGUGCCAGCAAUAUGGAGAAACGAGGGGUCCUCCUUACUGGGAAGGAG
rnacentral:lncRNA from 1 species